rnacentral:rRNA from 1 species
GGGGAAUUUUGGACAAUGGGCGAAAGCCUGAUCCAGCAAUGCCGCGUGUGUGAAGAAGGCCUUCGGGUUGUAAAGCACUUUUGUCCGGAAAGAAAUCCUCUGGGUUAAUACCUCGGGGGGAUGACGGUACCGGAAGAAUAAGCACCGGCUAACUACGUGCCAGCAGCCGCGGUAAUACGUAGGGUGCAAGCGUUAAUCGGAAUUACUGGGCGUAAAGGGUGCGCAGGCGGUCUUGCAAGUCAGAUGUGAAAGCCCCGGGCUUAACCUGGGAAUUGCGUUUGAAACUACAAGACUAGAGUGCAGCAGAGGGGAGUGGAAUUCCAUGUGUAGCAGUGAAAUACGUAGAUAUCUGGAAGAACACCAGUUGCGAAGGCGGUCUCUUGGUCCGACACUGACGCUGAGGCGCGAAAGCGUGGGGAGCAAACA